rnacentral:rRNA from 1 species
GCAAGUCGAACGAUCCUUCGGGAUAGUGGCAGACGGGUGAGUAACGCGUGGGAACCUUCCCUAUGGUACGGAAUAGCUCCGGGAAACUGGAAUUAAUACCGUAUAAGCCCUUCGGGGGAAUGAUUUAUCGCCAUAGGAUGGGCCCGCGUCGGAUUAGCUAGUUGGUGAGGUAACGGCUCACCAAGGCUACGAUCCGUAGCUGGUCUGAGAGGAUGAUC